rnacentral:lncRNA from 1 species
GCAAAACAAAAGAACAGUACUAUAGAAAACGUUUGUUCAAACUACAGCUGUGACAGGAAGGGAAAGAGAAUGAAAUUUAUUCAUGAACAGGAGACUGAAGUAUGUGUAUGCUUAUUCAACUCUCAGAAGAGGAUCUGAAGUGAAAAUGAGAGUUCAUGGAGUGAUAAAAUCGUUGAAGUUGGACAGGCUCUCAAGAGCCGCGGUCCUGAUCGUGGAGAGCUCCCAGCUAGACAGCUCCAGCUCCAAGGUGAACUCCAUCAAGUCCACCCUGAUGGGGGAGGCUCCAACUCAGGCAACCAACAGAUCCGCAGGCAUCCACCAGGGACUGAAGCUUGCUAGCAGUAAGAAGGGGAAAAUGCUAGAGCAGAUAAGAAAACCUCCCAAGCACUAUCACCGGCAAGGAGAGGUAGGACAUUGCUUCAUUGCUCAAGUGUCUGUCCGUGUGCGUGCUAUAUGCAAAGAACUGCUAGUCUCCCUCUCACGUUGCUUCCAAAGCUUUACUGUGUUGCAUUAAUUAACUUUUUCAGGGUUGUCUGGCACGAGAUAAUAUUAAAAUAGGUGUUAGGAACUGUGAGAGUAGUCAUUGGAAGGUCUUAAACCUUUAGUUUUUAUCUGUAGGAUCAAUAACUGAUGAAAGAAAGAGUAAUCCAAUGAAAAUCAUCUUUAGUAUCUCUUUGUCUGCCUAUAGCUGGAAGUAAAGGAAGAAACUUCUUGUUAACUUUCAGACAAUAAAUGAGCAGAAUUUUAAAUAGAUGAGGAAAAU